GUGAGAGGUGGCGAUGGUGGCAAAGCGGACAAGAGGCAAUCGGCGAUGGCAUGAUGCGCUAUCAACGAAUGUGAACUGGUGCAUCUGUAGCCUAGAACUGCUAGGUUUGUUAUGAGACGGAGUAAAGGUAAAGAUAUGGGAGGGAGUGGACAUUGUUGCACAAAAUCUCUGUGAAAAUGCAGACAUGAAAGCAGAUUUGCCCGAACAUACUCGCCG
rnacentral:misc_RNA from 1 species